rnacentral:rRNA from 1 species
AUUGAACGCUGGCGGCAGGCCUAACACAUGCAAGUCGAACGAGUGGCGGACGGGUGAGUAAUGUCUGGGAAACUGCCUGAUGGAGGGGGAUAACUACUGGACACGGUAGCUACUACCGCAUACCAUCAGAUGUGCCCAGAUGGGAUUAGCUAGUGGGUGGGGUAACGGGUCACCAAGGCGACGACCCCUUGCUGGUCUGAGAGGAUGACAAGCCACACUGGAACUGAGACACGGUCCAGACUCCUACGGGAGGCAGCGGUGGGAAAUAUUGCACAAUGGGCGCGAGCCUUAUGCGGCCAUGCCGCGUGUAUGAAGAAGGCCUUCGGGUUGUAAAGUACUUUCAGCGGUGAGGCGUUACCCGCAGAAGAAGCACCGGCUAACUCCGUGCCAGCCGCCGCGGUAAUAC